GUAGAUUUGCCGCCGGGUAAAAACGACUUUAAGCGUUGUGCUUUGCAUCAUUAGGCCUUUGAAGAUGCAAAAGACUCAGCGCUUUUAUUUU
rnacentral:ncRNA from 1 species